CAAUGCAGACAGAACCUCAUACUUCGAAAGAAUUCAGAACGAUAGGUAGUGCGACACAAUGGCUUUAACAGAUAAUGAGUUUUGGCGCGAUUUUAUGGAAGUGUUUAGAAAUGAAAAAAUAUUAUGGGAAGUAAAAAAUGACAACUACAAAAAUAAAUUAAGGAGUUCUUGAUAAUUUUCAUUAUUCAUUCGAACAAAAUUUUUAAAUUUUUUUAUAGAAUUUGUUUCCAAUUCCUUAAGAAGUGGUACGUGUGAAUAUUUUGGCCGUUCUUUAUAAAAAUUUUCACACCAAAAACGUUCUUUUCACUUUUUUGCCUUCUUUUUCUUUUCGUUAUCAGUGCACAUUGAAAUUAUAAGCAGCGCUACAAUUUCAUCAUCCGAUGCCAUAACGUCCGCUCACUUCAAAGAUUGAAACGAAAUGAAGUUUGAACAACUUGUCGCAUAAGUGUACAGUGAACUGACUUGCGACCCGGUAUGCAUACAAGUCUGCAUAGAGUCAUAAAUUGACGGCACAUUACUAAUUCCAGAUCUCUGAUAGGGACCUGUCUGCACGCAGGAUGUGCAACUGAUGUGAUUUCGCAAAGGAUAGAGGCGACUGAAUAAGUUUUGAAUACCAGGCCCUGACCGAACCAAGCUUCAAUCCAUAACACUUUCUCCAUCGUCUUUCGCCGCAUUAGAUCAUUACACAUUAUAUAUCAAGGUGCCCCUAAAUAUUGGGAGCUUUAAAUUUUUGGCAAAUGUCAGACUAGAUACAAUCUGUGAUGCUUGUUUGUAACCAAUCGAUUAAAGGGUCAUAUACACAUACCAUAACCGGUCAAAUGACCGAUUUAGAACUUAUAUUUAAUGAUCUGAAACACUCCGCAGAGAUACUCAAGCUAUAUUCUCCUGCUAAUGGCAGGCACAGGGCUCUGGCGUGGCGAACCUACCCCUUCCCCAGAGUAAACGUUGACCAGGAGGCUAACUUUAUGCUAGCCAAUUGGUCGUAAAAAACAGAAUGGCUAAACAAAACAAAAACAACAAUUAAAACCAGACAGCGGCAAGGGUACUCCUAGCUCAGGGAGAAGACCACGCUUCCUUGAUGCUCUAACUGCAGAGAAGCGUUCGCUGUUCGAGGAGUACGCGAGAGACGACGAUGUAUCCUCAACGAGCAGCGGCAUAGUAGGCAAGCCACUACUCCUGGCAUCCCAGGCGGGAACAAGCCCAAAGGAGGUUCGAGCGAGUACGAACCCCACAAAUGUACCCACUAUCGCCGAAGAUAGUAGCAAGGAGCCGUCGAAGAAACGGCCCGGCAAAGAAACAUAGGCCCACAAGAGACGGACGCAUAGGAGUGGUAAAUACCAUCCGCUACCUGAGGCAGGCUGCCCAGAUGGUCCUGACGAUCCCCGCAGGGUCGGAAUGAGUGGGGACACUGUCAAGUGGUACCUUCGACAUCUGGAUGAGGGUAAAUCGCCUGAAAUAGCCCUUGGCAGAAUACGAGGUGAUGGAGGAAGCAAUGCCAAAAAAUCGCCUGUAACAAAAGGUACACAGGAGAAGUAUAACUCUGACACUAGGCGACAGGUCAGAGAAGAAAGAGCUGGCAAACGGGACAGAAGCCAGAUAACACCACAAUAAUUGCCAAAUUCUAAGCGGCGCAGACCAGCCACGACUCUGGAGUCGAGCGGGCAAGCUAGGACCCAAGAAGCAUCUAAGGUAGUAGACAGCCAGCGCAGGUAUGCGGAUACUCUUAGAAGCGUACGCAGUACUGCCGCUAAACUACCCAGAGAUAGCUCUAGUCCCGGCCCAGCUCACCGUCCUCCAAAACCGGAUAAUGAAUCGGGUAGUCAAAGGACGAAUGCACGCUCUAUCCUUCAAUGGCGUAUAUUUCCGAUCAGGCAUGCUACUGGUUGACUGCAGGGACGAAGAGACCGCUACCUGGCUUACGGAGAUUGCCCCCAAGCUCGAAGGAUGGGAUGGUCCAGUCCUCUGCGCCAAACGAGGCGAGGAAAUACCGCCUAUACACAGCAUGACGGUAUUUCUUCCUAGAUGUGCUGAAGAGCCUCUUGAAAACGACAUGGAGCUGAUAACGGCACAAACUGAGAGUAUUAACUCCUCAGCUUGGCGAAUCAUAGACAGUAUUUUUACUGAAGACUCCGGAAUAAGACUCUACGUAGGGAUAGACGACGUGUCUUACAAAAUACUCCGGAAGGCAGGUUUCCGUCUAAACUUUAGGUUUAGCGCCGUCCACUUGCGCCCUUGGCGGCCAAAGCCCGUGGAUGAUAAGGCAAACAAAGGCGCUUCGGACCCGCUGUGCAGGGCUCAACUGCCAGUGUCAUGGACACCACGGAAGCGCUUCCCAAGAAGACAGUAGAGGAGGCACCCUCUACUCAGGAGCUCUUGGAGGGAAUGGAGGAGCUUGUGGCUGGAGAUGGAAAAGCUAGCGACUCGGAGGACCUCUCCCUCCUGGAGCCCAUACUGUGAUGAACUCCCGCGUAGAAGUUGCUCGGGUGAACUUGCAUCACGCAGUAACUGCAUCGGCGGUUAUCGCCAGCAGGUUCAACAAGGAUAAACUGAGCAUCAUCUUAGCCCAGUAACCCUGGGUUUUCAAAGGCCUAAAUACUGACAACAAUAAGGUAUUCUGGAACCUAUCUAGUCACAGACCUAGAGCCUGUAUUGUUCUGAAGAAAGAAGGUUUCUUCGGAACCAUCCAUGUCAGAUCAUAGGAUCAUAAGGUUUGUACUCGGAAUUGAAACGAAGAUUAUUCCACCAAAGCGUAACAGGAAUUCAGGAAUUUUUAUGAAAGCGUCUCCUCGACGCCAGAGGCUGCAAGACUGCAUAACGCCCUAGUCAGGGGGAAAAACGAUACUACAUUAGCUCUCAAACUCCCUAACGGAUCUUACACAACAAGCGCAGAAGACAGGAUAAGAGUGCUGCUGAGUACGCACUUACCGGAGUCGAUCCCGAGAAAUCAAGUUGCCCAAUACCGCCCUGUACCAGCUAACGACUGAGAUCCGGAAAUCUCUAGAGGACGGAGAAGUGGCAUUAUGUGCCUUCCUAGACAUCGAGGGAGCAUUAGAUAAUGCCUCACACUGUAGCAUCAUCAGUCUGCAGAUGGACGGAAGCGCUGCAUAGCUCGAGAAUAACUCAGACUAUCUCAGGGGAAAGCACAAUUCAGUUCGCACCACUAGGGGAUGCCCUCAAGGGGGGGUUCUGUCCCCUCUGCUCUGGAGCCUCCUAGUGGACGAUCUUAUUCAGAGAGGAUUAUUAUUCAGAGAGUAUUAAGUCUAGCAAAACGCUGGUGCGACAAGGAUGGACUAGGCAUCAAACCUGCCAAAACAACCAUCGUCCCUUUUACUAGACGGAGAACCCUACCGGCUCUAAGGGCCAUUCAACUUAGCGGCUGUGAUAUUGAGUGCUCCAACGUAGUGAAAUACCUAGGAAUAACCUUGGACGCUUCUCUUCGCUGGAAUACUCAUGUGAUACUGUACCAAGGCACUCAUGGUGUUCAAACGUCUGGCUGGCAGGACUUGGGGCUGCAGCCCACACAUUAUUAGAUGGAUGUACACCAUGAUAGUAAGACCAAUAAUCACAUAUGGAGCAGUGGCAUGGGCUGAUAAAGCUUCCCUUGCUGUAGUGAAGCUAAAGCUGGCCAAACUGCAAAGGCUAGCCUGUGUAUGCGUAUGCGGAGCGAUGAGGACGUGUCCCACAGCAGCGAUGGAGGCAAUCCUAAACCUCACCUCACUGCACAUAGUGAUUAAACACUGGGCCAACCAGACCAUUCUGCAAAUGACAGCGGACGGUUAUGAAAAGGGCAAAGUAAUAUCAUCUAGGAACAUGAUGGAGAUCGGCGAGAGGCUUCCUCUAGCACCCCUCCCUAGAGAUGAUACCAUCAGAGAAACAAAAGCAACUCGCUGCAUUGGUACACUGACAGUUCCUUUUCUGGCAGUAGGUCCCCACACUAUCCGGGAUAUGUUCCGAGCAGAAGAAAAAAGAGAUAGGGAAGAGCAUUGGCGCCAGUCAGCGGGAUUGCGCCAGUCAAAAGGUUUAUUGGUAGGUUAUAACGCCAAAAGAUUUAAGUGCUUAAUAAACCUCUCAAGGAGCAAACUAAGGCUAUUGGUCGGUAUAUACACGGGCCCCUGCCAGCUCUGGCAACACCUUAAUAAUUUGUGCUUGGUCUCGUCACGGACCUGUCGCUUCUGUGACAUGGAGGACGAAACUCCCCUACACAUACUACUGGAAUGUGCAGCGCUUCACAGAAGCAGGAGCAAAAUUUUAGGAUAUAUCAUCCAAACAGAGGGGCGCAUCGUCUCCCUUAGUCCUAGUACCAGCCUGGAAUUUUUCAGGGUACUGGGUCUAAUGGAGUCGCUGUAGACUUGUAGAGGGCACAAUAGACCACUGGUCGUGGUGCUUUCCUGAAUAUCUUAUCUAUCUAUCUAUAUAUACCAAACCUAUACCUUCGCAAUCUCCAAACCUGAAUCCUAGAGCUCUUAUGGGAUAAAGAAGAAUACCCACCAAGUUAUUAACCACUACUUUAAUUACAUUACUUGUUCUUGUUAUUCAAUUUUUUAAUAUUAAUUUUGUUAUGGUUUUUGUAUUUAUCGAUUCAAAAAUUUAAAACUAAAGUUCAUUCAAUUUCCAAAUAAAACAUGAAUUUAUGUUUGCAAAUAGUAUUGCUGAUCCAUUCAACGACUAUGAAUAGGAUAUACAUAUAUAUUGUGGAUGAAAAGGAAUAAGAUAGAAAGGUUUAAUAAGUCUAUUUGCAGCGAUACUUUAUGCAAAAUUCGUUGCUAAUGAACACAUUAAUAAGCCAUCACAAUUUUGGGAAAAGGUGAUAUUUUCUGAUGAAAGUAAAUUUAGCAUUUUUGGGAUCCAAGAACGUAAACUGGUUUGGAGAAAACCAGGUACAGGCUUAAAUAAUGAAAACCUUGUACCUACUGUGAAGCAGGGUGGUGUUCUGGUGUGAGGGUGUAUGGCGAGUGCUGAC